rnacentral:rRNA from 1 species
AGACGGGGCCCGACACGAAAGUCGGUGGAUCAUGUUGUUAAUUCGAUGAUACGCGAAAGAACCUUACCAGGUCUUGACAUCCCCGCAAUGCUCUGGAGACAGAGCGGAGGUAUCCGGGAGACAGGUGGUGCAUGGUUGUCGUCAGCUCGUGUCGUGAGAUGUUGGGUUAAGUCCCGCAACGAGCGCAACCCUCGCCUCUAGUUGCCAGCAUUCGGUUGGGCACUCUAGAGGGACUGCCGGCGACAAGUCGGAGGAAGGUGGGAUGACGUCAAAUCAUCAUGCCCCUUAUGACCUGGGCUACACACGUGCUACAAUGGGCGGUACAAAGGGCUGCGAACCCGCGAGGGGGAGCGAAUCCCAAAAAGCCGCUCUCAGUUCGGAUUGCAGGCUGCAACUCGCCUGCAUGAAGCCGGAAUCGCUAGUAAUCGCGGAUCAGCAUGCCGCGGUGAAUACGUUCCCGGGCCUU